rnacentral:rRNA from 1 species
AACAAACGCUGGCGGCGUGCCUAACACAUGCAAGUCGUACGAGAAAGGGUCCUUCGGGGCCUGAGUAAAGUGGCGCACGGGUGAGUAACGCGUGGAUAAUCUGCCCUUCAGUUGGGAAUAACUCAUCGAAAUGUGGGCUAAUACCGAAUAAUGCUGUGAGACCUCGGUUGAUCAGCCAACGGGAGCCUCUGCUUGCAAGCCCUCGCUGAAGAGUGAGGGCGCGUACCACUAGUUAGUUGGUAGGGUAAUGGCCUACCAAGGCGACGAUGGUUAGCUGGUCUGAGAGGAUGAUCAGCCACACUGGAACUGAGACACGGUCCAGACUCCUACGGGAGGCAGCAGUGAGGAAUCUUGCGCAAUGGGGGCAACCCUGACGCAGCAACGCCGCGUGAGUGAGGAAGGUCUUCGGAUCGUAAAGCUCUGUCGGAUGGAAAGAACCGCAUAGGGGUAAACAGCCCCUGUGUCUGACGGUACCAUCAAAGGAAGCACCGGCUAACUCCGUGCCAGCAGCCGCCGUAAGAC